AUUGAACGCUGGCGGAAUGCUUUACACAUGCAAGUCGAACGGCAGCACGGACUUCGGUCUGGUGGCGAGUGGCGAACGGGUGAGUAAUGUAUCGGAACGUGCCCAGUCGUGGGGGAUAACGUAGUGAAAAUUACGCUAAUACCGCAUACGAUCUAUGGAUGAAAGCGGGGGAUCGCAAGACCUCGCGCGAUUGGAGCGGCCGAUAACAGAUUAGGUAGUUGGUGGGGUAAAGGCCCACCAAGCCAACGAUCUGUAGCUGGUCUGAGAGGACGACCAGCCACACUGGAACUGAGGCACGGUCCAGAAUCCUACGGGAGGCAGCAGUGGGGGAUUUUGGACAAUGGGCGAAAGCCUGAUUCAGCCAUUCCGCGUGCAGGAUGAAGGCCCUCGGGUUGUAAACUGCUUUUUUACCGAACGAAAAAGUUUCUACUAAUACUAGGGGCUCAUGACGGUACUGGAAGAAUAAGCACCGGCUAACUACGUGCCAGCAGCCGCCGCGG
rnacentral:rRNA from 1 species